GAAUAAUUGAUGCUUUUGAACUGUGGUUUUGGAGAAGACUCUUGAGAAUCCCUUAGACUGCAAGAAGGUUAAACCAGUCUAUCCUAAAGGAAAUCAACCCUGACUAUUCAUUAGAAGGACUGAUGCUGAAGCUGAAACUCCAAUACUUUGGCCACGUGAUGUGAAGAACCGACUCAUCAGAAAAGACCCUGAUGCUGGGAAAUAUGGAAGACAGAAGGAGAAGGGGAUGACAGAGGAUGAGAUGGUUGGGGAUGGCAUCACUGACUCGAUGGACAUGAGUUUGAGCAAGCUCUGGGAGUUGUUUAUGGACAGUGAAGCCUGGCAUGCCACAGUCCAUGGGGUCGCAAAUAGUCGGACACGACUGACCAACUGAACUGAACUGAAUUCUGGUAAGGGGAUCUUUCCUGGUGGCUCAACGCUAAAGAAUGUGCCUGCAAUUCAGGAGACACAGGAGACACUGGUUCAAUCCCUGGUUUGUGACGAUUCCCUAGAGGAGGGCCUGGCAACACACUUCAGUAUCCUUGCCUCAAGAAUCCCAAGGAAGAAGAAGCCUGGAAGUCUAUAGUCCAAAGGGUCACAAAGACCUUUCAGUUGGACAUGACUGAAGCAACUGAGCACGCAUUCUGGUUUGUUUAUCUUGAAAUAAAAAUAAAAAAUCUGGGCUUCCCUGCUGGCUCAGGGGUAAAGAAUCCACCAGCCAAUGCAGGAGACAGGAUCGGGUUUCUGAUCCGGGAAGGUCCCGCGUGCCUCAGAGCAACUAAGCCUGUGUGCCACAACUAUUGAGCCUGUACCCUAGAGCCCGAGAGCCACAGCUACUGAAGCCCACGUGCCUCAAGCCUGUGCUCCCCAGCAAGAGAAGCCACAGCGAUGAAAAGCCUGAGAUUGCACCUAAAGGAGCCCCAAUUUGCCACAACUAGAGAAAAGUGGACGCAGCUAUGAAGACCCAGCUAUGAAGACCCAGCUCGGCCAAAAACAAAGAAAUUAAAUUAAGAAGACUCUUUCCUUGAACUUGCUUCUCUUUCAAGCACACACCUUAUCUUUCUGUUCUUUGUUGCCCAACCUCUUCAAAGUGGUCUACAGCAGAGAAGGGGAAAGAGUGGGUUAUUUUUCAAUGGGCAUAGAGUUUCAGGUUUAGAAGAUGUAAAGGGUUAUAAAGAUGAAUGAUGGUGAUGGCUGACAUUUUUAAUGUAUUCAAUAUCACUGGAUUGUGCACUUACAAUGGUUGAGAUGAUACAUUUUACGUGAUGUGUAUUUUAACACACAUACACACACACACACACACACACACACACACGAAGAAAAGUAGUCUGUACCACCUGCCACCUCUAGGAUAAACAGCUGGGAGUUCCUGGCAUAGGGGACUUUCAGGGCUAAAACUGGGAGAGUUCUAGGCAACCAGGAGAGUUAGUCACCCUGUGGUGGCACCAUCCUCUGUUAAAGAAAUUAAAAUGAACGAAGUCUUAUUCAGGCUUCAGAGGCAGCAGAGCAGGCCUCUGUUCUUGUUUUGACCUGCCUGGACAUUUCCUGGAUUCUUUGCCUGCCUGCAAGCACAGCUAGUCAGAUGGUGCUUUAGAUAAGAAAAGGAAUGGGUCUUGGAGUUUUUGAGCCACUGGUCAACUGCUAAGGGUUUAAAGAAACCUACGGCUCACAAGAUAAAACAAACAGCACUGUAGAAAGGUUAAAGUAAAACCAAACCUGCGUUUUCGUGGACAAACUGAUGAUGAUAUCAGUUUGCAGCCUGGGAUUAUAAGCAGGAACCCCAGAAACUACAAUUUGAAGUGUCACUCAUAGCGUGGAGGCACUGCCCCUGUCAGGGAGCUUUUCCCAAUUGGGACUCCAGAUUGCUGUUGACGCGGGACUUCCCA
ensembl:lncRNA